rnacentral:lncRNA from 10 species
UGGACCACUGGGCUGGGACCCACGACCCCACCACCACGCCUGGAGGACGCGCAGCGGCGCCUCGGCCUUGGAAGGGGAGUUUCCCAGCGCGAGCCCCGCCCUUCCCCGCCCGGGAGGCGCCUCGGGGCGGGGUCACUGGCCGGGAGGCCCCGCCUUCCGCCCGAAAGCGCCGGUGCACCCCGCAGGCCCUGCCCGUGGGUCCACAGGCCGGAUCCCCGGGUUCCUAGGCUGGGACUGCUUCUCAGAACCACUCUGUCGUUUUUAAGCAGGGUCACACACUCUAGCUCACUGGGUCCAUUUUAAUUUCUAUUAAACAUUUUUUUUUUUUUGCAAAUGAUGUAGUAGGAGAUCCAAGGUGUUUGGUUAAUGAUUUAUUCACUCAUUAGUCAUUCCACAAACUUGUCUUGAGCACCUGUUAUGUACCCAGCACUGUGCUGGAAUGCUGAGGAGACAGGAGUGAAGUAAAAAGACAUGGUUCCGGCAGGAAACAGGCAAGGAGAGCCUUGACUUGACGGAGUCUGGCUAUAUCGCCAGGCUGGAAUGCAAUGGCGCGAUCUCUCCUCACUGCAACCUCCGCCUCCCGGGUUCAAGCGAUUCUCCUGCCUCAGCACCUCGAGUAGCUGGGACUACAGGCGCGCGCCACCACGCCCAGGUAAUUUUUUGUAUUUUUAGGAGAGAUGGGGUUUCACCAUGUUGGCGAGGGUGGUCUCAUUUCUUGACCUCGUGAUGCGCCCACCUCGGUCUCCCAAAGUGCUGGGAUUACAGGCAUGAGCCACUGUGCCCGGCCAGUAUGAUCAGUUUUUGCGCAGAGAGCUGGAGGGAUAGAGUAUCAGAAUGAGGGAUGAUAGAAACGCAGGUUACCAGUGGCACGGAGAGUGGGCAUGGAGAGAAGUGGGGGCCCUGGGGAAUACUUAGAAGGCGGGAUGAACAGAGCUUGGUGACUGACCAAGUGAAUGACGGUGAAAGAGGAUUCCAAGUUUUUUGUUCCCAAAACUGAGUGAAUGGUGCUGCCUCAGGUGUCACGAGUCUGACCUCGAGGCAGUCUUCAGAUGUCUGACAGUCUUUGCUUGUCUGUUCAUGAUUAAAAGUGGGUGGUCUUGGGCUUGUGGUGGUGAUGGCUGUAAACAGCAUAAUGAGCUUAGUCCUGAUGAUCUUGGUGGCAGAUGGUUUUGAUAAGAUGAUGAGUUUGGGGAAAGUAUUGCCUUUCCAAUCCUGCCAUUAGAAGAAUGUAGGCUGAAGAAAGUGCUGUAUUACUGAGAGGAGACAUGACAGUAUUCAUCACUUCAAACACUAUCUUGCCAAUCUUCUCAGUGGUUUUGACCCUGGCCUCAAACCCCCACACAAAACCUCAGAUCAAUACAAAUCUCUUCCUUAUCCACUCCUACUAUACAUAGUUGAGGACAACUUUUCUGCUUGCACUCAGGAGAUGACACUGCCUCCUACUUCAGAAAAGAAAAUUAAAACUAUUAGCUAGAAUUUGCACAACCUCCCACUGCUUCCUCCUUCCCUCCUCCAACAUCUUGAUUCACUACCAUUCUUACCUUCUUUUAGGUGACAAAGAGUAAGAGGAGGAACCCCAUGUAUAUCUCCUCUUCUGGGACCUUGCACCAUCAAUUACUUCACUUCCAUGUAUCUUUGCCUCUCCAUUUCUACUGGUUCUUUACUUUCAACACAUACUCAAGUUAUUCCCAUUUUCUCUUCAAAGGAGAGGAUCAUAUUUGCUCUCUGUAAUUCCACUUCCCCCUCUCUCCCUUGAAUUCACUCCAUUCAGUCCUUCAUGCCCACCAUGCCACGAAACUGCCACUUGUCAAGGUCACCUGUGAGCUCCAUGCUGCCAGUUUCAAUGGCCAAAGCUUCACUCUUGCAACUUCUGUUGUUCUUGACUACUUCCUCUCUUGACAUGUCUCAUUCACUUUGUUGCAUAUCAUCACUUUCUUCUGGUUUGUCUUUUAUCCCUGUGACUUCACUGUUCCUUAAACAUGACAAGCAUGCUCUUGCCUCAGGGCUUCUUCACUAGCUAUUCCCUCUGUCUGGAAUGCAGAAAUCUACAUGACUCAUACUCUCCCUUUACUCAAGACUGCUCACUUGUCACUGACUACCUAUAAAUUAGCUCCUUUGUUGUUGUCUUUAUGACACCACAACUUCACAUACGUCGCCAUCUCUUUACUUUCCUAUAGUUAUCUUCUAGACUGUGUCUUCUCCUUAUCUCCAGUUUUCAUUCUGUAUUUUUUUUCUUUUUAGUAAGAGGAAAUAACUCUACAUUCAAAUUUGAGCAGGGCACUUGGUGACCUACUUAGACAUGACAUUCCUUGGCCUCCCUUUCAGCAAGAUGAGAAAACUGAGGCACAGAGAGGUGAAAUAAGGAAUGAAAUAUUACUGGAUGAAAUAAUUAUACUGAUCCUAGCCUUAUUUUAAAAGGGCCCCCAGAAUGCUCUUCUCCAAGACUUAGAAAAAUCAAAUGCUAUCCAUCCCUCAAGAUACAUCCCUCCAGCCCCUCCUUGAAGUCUCCUGCAGCUAGAAGUAGAAGUAGCAUCUAUCCCCAUCUGGACUCCUUAGCACUUUGCUGUACCUGCCUUAGUCCCCAUCUCUUUACACACACACACACACACACACACACACACACAGAGUAUUAUAAUACUAUUACCUAUUAUAUUACAUUAUAUUAUUGUAGUUCUACAGGAACUACAAGGAAUUCUACUGUGAAUUCCUUAAGGGUGGGAUACAUUUUACAAUCAUCACUGUUUCUCUCAUUAGUUGUGGAAUCAAAAAAAUGAGUGCACGAUGAAAAAUUAUUCAAACACAUACAUGCUUUCAUUCCAAUUGAAAAUGUAAAAAUAUUACUGUUAAAACAAUAUUAAAGGACAUGUAAUACAAUUCAAAUAUUCCUACCAUGCACGAUUGUUUUCACUUCUUUGUGCCUCUUUCACCAUUUAUUUGUGUGCAUACUCAGCAUAUUUGUUUGUGUAACAGGAUGUUAAAAAUAGAAUUUGUUGCCUGUAGUUUUUGCUAAAGCUCUACUAGACUGGAACAGAACAAUAGGUGGUAAAUACUCCAUUCCUCAGUGAGAUGCUACCUACCUAUGCAGAGCUGGAAAAGAUUUUGCAACCUGAAAACCCAAUCCUUUCUGAGAUAUAAAAGAACAGAAGAGUCUGGAAGUGAUUUCUUCGGAGAAAUUCAUUUUCUUAUUCCAGAGAAGAAACUUCAAGCUCAGAAUAUUGGCUACUACCUGUGAUAAACAUUUAAAUUAUUGGAACGAGAGAGUUUUUAUAACUAAAUUUGAAAGAAGCAAUUUUUUUUAUCAAAGACCAACCCGAAGAUUCAUGACCACUACCUGUGAUUUCAUCCAUGUUGCAAGGAAAAUCCUGCCCCACUUCCCCAAUAGGAAGAGUGGUGGGGGAAUAAUAAAGUUGUUUUAUGAUGCAUCCUGUGGACUUCUACUCGACAGAAUGGUAACAUUCAACUGUAAUCAGGAUGAGCAAGCCACUUUAUUAAACUAAAAUUUUAAACUUUAAUAAAUAUAAUACAAACUGAAAAAUAAAAAUAAUUUUUCAACUCUACACAAGUAUGUUAACUGCAUAAACAGUGAGAUGUUACACAGGGCUGAGGCCUAUACUUCUUCAGUUUGUACAUUAAACGUCUCCAUGGAGGGUCAAUUGCAUCCUACCUAUUCUGACAGUUAUCAGGUAGCGAGAGAUUUGAGGAAGAGGCGCUUUUCUAAUCUGGGGUAGGAAAAGGAAUGAUACCAUGUAUCAUGAGAAGUAUUUGCACAUAGUGUGUCAAUUAAGCAAGUGCUCAGACUAUUAACAACAUUACUAUGUGAUGAAUGUUUAUACAGUGGAUUCAAAAAUAAGCUUCUUUCCAGAAAGCAGCUUAGUUUUCAUUAAUUAUUACCAGCAUCUUGGUAAUUAUUUAUUUAAUGGUUUAAAAGUUAAAGUUUCAAUCUAUAUUUGUUUUUUUAACAUCAGCCAAGGAAAUACAUGUCUGUUAUACUGCAUCUUUGGAAGUAUGCAAUAAGUGUAACUAUUGAAUCUAUAUUGAAGAGCCACAAGACACUGAAUUUAAUUGGACGAGACUAUUUUAUUUAGGAAGACAAUCAUCUCCUGUGAUCAGCUUAAGGUUUUUGUUUUGUUUUAUCUGGAACAAGCUAAGUUCAUAUUUAGAAAAUAAAGUUAGUUUUUUGGGUGCAUGAGUUUUAGAGUAAAUUAGUAAUUUAGUAAACUUUGACAUUUCCACUUUGUCUCCAAACACAUUUAAAUUCUAUCUGUCUGACUGAAGUUCUAAGGCAUUCUGUGGUUACUUAGAAAUGAUUCCUUAUAUUAAUGUUUACAAAUGCUAAAUUGUAUUUGUUAAAUACAUGUCUUAUUGCCUAAGAGUUUUCCUUUCUUAUAAGUUUAAUAUAAAUGUCUAGGAAAUAAGACUCCCAUUUAAUAGCUUAUAAAGAAUGCUGAUGUAUCAGCAGUGGCCUUGACAUUAUUGGAUACAAGUAAGAUCUACACUGAUGAUUAAAUCAAAUUGGCUAAGAUUAUUCGUUCUAAUAAAAGCACUGACUCCAUGAAGUUUUCUUGUGGCUGAAAUUAACAUUCGUGUUCCUACAAGCUCUUUAAAAUCUUAGUUACUGAAAAUUAUUCCUUUUGACCUAAUUUUUUCUUUACUUUGGAUGUAUUUGACAAGGUAGAGGUUAGGGAUUGGAGAGUAUGUAAAGAAUGAAAUAAAAUGUAGUCACUUUUAACUAUAUCCACAUA